GCUACACUUGCUUCUUGCAACUUGAGAGUGAAAGAAGGGGAAGCUGGAUUGUUUGAAGAGCAAGGCCUAAGCGAUUUUCAUCAAAAUCGCUGUUUUUUGUUUGCGAAGUUCAAUACGUUGUUUUCCGUAUUUGCGUAUUUUGUUGUGAUAACGCCAAUAAGGCUCUUUUCAGCCUUUCAAAGAGCCUGUGCAAAGUGCUAGUAUUGGUCAUAGUGAUGGACACCUCCUUGAUCCUGUGCUGUGUUUACAAUCUAACACAACAGCAGCAGCAGCUCUAUUGGACUGGGGUCUUGUUACAGCAGAUGUGCUUUUGGGAAUCCAUAGUUCCCCCGAGGACCACCACCCUUCCCUGAUAGCAGCCUGCCUUCUCCCACUUCAGCGUUCCCAUUCAUCUCUAAAUAAGGUACCAUCCUAAUGAUCCUCAGCUUUGCCCUAUGACAUAAGACAUCCAGAGCAGUAAAAUUAUGUUGUGGGCCAUCACCACGAUAAUGCCAUUGUACUUCGGAGUGCUGAAGUUCUUAUCUCGUUUCUGAUACCAAAGCUCUCCUAACACUUGCAACAAGAUAAGAAACAUAAUUAUGAAGUUCUUCUCAAAGGACCACUUUCUGGGAGUGUGUUGUUUUUGUGUUGCAUUUAGAAGUUUGUUGUCUGGCAUGAAACUCACUUCCUUCAGUUCAACAAUACAGUAUCCCAAUCACCAAACUAGCCUUUUCUUUUGUUCUUCCAUGCUUCCAAGUGCUGAACUGAAACACUCCUCAUCUUGAAACAAGCAUUGAAGCAGAGCAGAAGGCCACCAUUGGGCCCCCACUAAUAGCAUAGGGACCACCGAUUGAUUUUAGAUUCACUUAUACCUGGUUGCUUGAUGGUGUGUAAAGCCAGAUUCUCAAGAUAGAAAGGAAGUCACAUUUAUACAACCAGCUGACCUCUUAGUCUAGAGAUUGGAUUAUGCACUUUAUGACACAAAUGGAUUCAUAUGUGCUCUUCCAUCUCUUUAUAAGCAUGUAAACAAAUUAGAUACUUUCUGACUCAAGUAUUAUGCAGUAAUGUUUGAUUUGAGAUGCACCAAAUAGUGUUCAGAAGUGAUUCUAAGCUGAACUACUGCAGACAGAGAAAUCUUUUGUAUCUUUGUUUAUGAUGUCAAACCACUUGCAACAGGAUUUGAUACCGAGCAAGAAGAAAAACACUGUUCCUCAUUUGUGUUCCUCAGCAUAAGAGUUGUGGCUGUGUCCUUACUUACCAUAUCAAAGCUUCACUUCCUCUUUGCUGUAAUAAUCGUUAGAGGACCAGAGGUCCCAUUUAUGGCUGCCUGCAUGUAAACAGUUGUCAAACAUAUAGCUUUGCAUACCUGUUUAGUUUGGGUUUGUCAUAGUUUAUCAUAUAGUGCAGGGAUAGGUCAUGAAGAAAAAAAUUCUGGUAUCAUGUACUCUCAUGUCAAACCAAACCUGUAUAACUUUAUUUAUUUUGUGGAAGAUAUUUAAAAAAAAAAAAACUAUUUGUCUGUAAAAUGAAAUUCAUUAGGGUUCUAAACAGCCAUUCUGUGGACAAAAACAGUUCUUCAAAACAUUCAGACAAAAUAAUUCUUCAGAAUGUCUUUUUUUUUUCCACAGAAGACUUUUCUUUUAAUGCUGCAUUUGUUUUGGCACCUUCUUGUAAUGUUUAUGUGAUGCACUAUAAGAAAGUUCUACUCACUGUAGUGAAGUGAAAAUCAGAUUAUUUUACUUUCUUGGAUCUUUGAAUCUCAUUCAGGAAAAUAAACAGAACUUUAUUCAAGUCA